rnacentral:lncRNA from 1 species
GAGAAACAGCGCAUGGAGGAGUACACCUUGCAGCUUCGGGAGAUGCGGGACCGUGUGGAGAGCCGGCCGUAUCUCUUUGAGAGAGUCAUGCAGGCCAACGCCCGCCAGGCUGUGGAGCGGCGUUUCUCCCAGGUCCUGACCGCGCUGGGCAUCGAUGAAGAAAUGCUCUGGAAGCACUCCGUGCGGCAGUCUAGUGGCAAGUCCUCGGCCAAGGCAAUGCACAAGAGGANAGGGUCCCAGGAAGAUCUCCCAGAAUCCGUCUGAGUGCCAAAGCCUGGCAGGAAGAGCAGAGAGCGAGCUAAGAAGAGAAGCAUUUCCCCACNGCACUGCAACCACGAGGCUCUUGGAAAUAAACUCAGCUUUGGAGUGGAGAGAAAGAAGCA